UCAUCGUGACCUUUCAACUGCUUAUUUCAUUUCAUAUACAUCAUCUCUCAUACUUGUUUCCAUUCUUUCUCACCACUUCAGUUCAUACAUUAUAUUAUCAACUACUUGUAUAUAGAAAAUUAAAGGUUUAUACAAAUAUAGUCAUUAUUCUCUCAGGGCAAUCGAAAAGAUUACAAUGGUGACAAUGGGGUUGGAGAGGUUGAUGGUGACAUUGAAGACAAAGUUGGCUAGGUCUUUUAAGGGGAAAAAGCUCUACGAAUAUGAUGAGAUUGAGAAGAGUGAGAGUAUGAGGAUAGAGAUAAGAAGUAAAAAAGCACGAAAGUUGAUUGAAGAGACUCUCAAAGUUGCCGAUUCUCCUACUAAGAGAAGUGUUUCCAUUUGACAUAAAAUCAAGAAGCUAAGGUCGUUUAUUUUACAAUUCAGGAUAGUUAUGCGGAGCAUCUACAUGGAAGCAAAUUGUGUAGUCGAUUAUUUUACCUCAUUCGAUAAUCACAUUCAAGAUUAAGACUAGAAUACACCGGCUUUUCUACUAAGAGAAGCUAUUUAAUUUAUAAGGAGUAUUAAUAGUUUAAUAUGGUUUUAAUAAACCUUGAGAAAAGGUUACCAUAAAACCAUCAUCUUUGUAUUUUCCAAAAAAAAAAAAAAAAAAAAGUUUGCAAAUUGUAUGAAUUUUUAUGGUAACAUUUGAGUUAUGAAUUAUGAUCAUAUUGUGGUUUUUGUUGUGCA